UCUCGUUACGAUUCGGUGAAUCGACGCCGCGAAGUAAUCGUUCCCCUGUUUCGGUUAAGAUAAGAGGUGGUUAAAUGAAUAUGACACAGUAUAGAUAUUGACCGUUCGAAGGAUGUAAAAUCAGAACUGUCUUGGGAGACGAUGCUGUCUCGGAGGAAAGCUAAGGAUGGGUGUGUCUAGCGCACGGGACCAUCGGAUUUGUUGGUGACGAUUUUAGUUAGGAUUUUAGUUCAAGCUGAGUUGACCGUGAUUCAAUUCACGAAUAUCGGAGAGGAAAAGUCGUAAUUCACAAUAUUACACACAAUAAUACCUUCACAUAAAGGAACACAGCUCAGAUGAGACUUUUUAUAGUUAAACUUUUAACGUACUCAUAGACACGAAAAUUUUUUUUUAAAUAGAACUGUUACAUUUUACGACACGUAUAACAUCGAACAUUUACCAACAUAGCAAUGCCAGCGUACAUAUAUAUAUACUGGUGUACUGGUCAUCUUUUUUCCACACGUUUUUAGCUUUUUAGCUGAUUGUGAAUGGGCGCCUAAUCAGCCAAUCAGAAAUGGCCGGGUCUCUGCAAAUACGAAGUCCGCCCAUGUCGUCUGAAAAAAGGAUCCUCCUCCAUGCGACAGUAGCAGAUAGCUGAAACGUAUAUGAAACCAACCGUUACGUUCAUUUGUGUUUUUCCCCCCAAACGAAGAGAAAAUAAGUUGUGAAAGAAGGAGUAGCCUCUCAUAGUUCCUACAAUUUCUUUAUUCUCUUUGCUUUCUUCAAUAUUGCCUCAACAAGUUCCUGUGGUUCACGAUACUUGAAAUAUAUACAAUGUUACCAGCGUGGAAAUUGUCUUGGAAACUUGGAAAAUCUUUCAAGAGGAACAACAUUGCUAACUGAGAUUCGAGAAAGGAAAGUACCAAGAAUGUCGAGAUAUAAACAACCAUUUGUGGAAAGGUCAGGAGAAGCAGAAUUAUCGAAUAAACGUUAUAUAACUCUUAGUGAUUAAGUAAGAGAAGAGAAACGAGAAAAAAGUCUUUUAUCUAGGUCUUAAUAAAGUAUACUAUAUUUAUCUCCAUAUCAAGAAUAACAACAAGAUAUAAACAGUCUUCUAGAAAUUGAACUCUUUGCAUCUUCUAUACAGGUAUCUCAUGAUCAUGUGAUAACACACAGGAAGAAAAAAUAGAGGAAAAAACAGCGUAAAAAAAAGUUGCGUAGGAGUAUCGUCGCACUACAUCAUUCGACAAUUGAUGCACGUCAUGGCGAUCGUCACGGUUUAAAGCAGGCCAUCAAAAACACGUUUGUUAUCGUACGGAAAAAUCUGCGACGUUCCAGCUGUUCAGGUGCAUCGAAUUGUGAAUCAUCGGCGGUACGAAGCAAGGCGAGGGGCGUAAAUAGAAAAAGAAGAGAAGAGAAGGAUUCGCAUAAAUGAUAAAAUAUAAUCGUUCGUUCCUCGUCGAUGGCGGAUGGAUAGCUUUAAUCGUGGACGAUAUCGAUACGAUUAUAUUUUAUACAUUUGAAACAAAUAUAAAAGACGAGCAAAAACCAGA